rnacentral:rRNA from 1 species
AACGAACGCUGGCGGCAUGCCUAACACAUGCAAGUCGAACGAGACCUUCGGGUCUAGUGGCGCACGGGUGCGUAACGCGUGGGAAUCUGCCCUUGGGUUCGGAAUAACAGUUGGAAACGACUGCUAAUACCGGAUGAUGACGUAAGUCCAAAGAUUUAUCGCCCAAGGAUGAGCCCGCGUAGGAUUAGCUAGUUGGUGAGGUAAAGGCUCACCAAGGCGACGAUCCUUAGCUGGUCUGAGAGGAUGAUCAGCCACACUGGGACUGAGACACGGCCCAGACUCCUACGGGAGGCAGCAGUGGGGAAUAGUGGAAAAUGGGCGAAAGCCUGAUCAAGCAAGGCCGCGUGAGUGAUGAAGGCCUUAGGGUUGUAAAGCUCUUUUACCCGGGAUGAUAAUGACAGUACCGGGAGAAUAAGCACCGGCUAACUCCGUG